GUUGGAUUCGCAGGAAAAAGGCUGAUAGGAUGAACCUCUUGGUCUCCAGAAGAUAUCGUUAGGGAGCAGAGUUAUAGGAGCCUUCACUUUCUGCUUUGUGGUUUUGUGGUAUUUGAAUAUUUUCCCACAGCAUAUCCUAUUUAAUAAUUUAAAACGAUGUUCUGCAUAUCAAUGCCUUCCUGUCUAAUAUAGUACUCUAAUCAGGUUAACAAUUUUCUUUUCUUUCUUUCAGUACUGGAGAUGGAACCCAGGGCCUCAUGCAUACCAGGCAAACUGAGCUACCCUGGGUCCCCAGCCCCAGCUUAACAACAACAACAAAAAUAAUAAUAACUUCUUGGUACCAGGGAUUAAACCCAGGGGCACUUUACCAUUAAACCAUGUCCCAGCCCUUUUUGUUUUUUAGUUUGGAACAAGAUAUCACUAAGUUGCUUAGGGCCUCACUAAGUUGCUGAGGCUGGCUUUGAACUUUCGGUCCUCCUGCCUCAGCCUCCUGAGUUGCUGGGAUUACAGGCGUGGGCCACUGCACCUGGUUUGACAGAUUUUUAUCAAGUUUUUAUUUGCUCACUUUAUCACCCAACUUUCCUCAUUCCUAAGAUGAUGCAUUGACAAUAAUAUCUUUUUUUUAUUAGUGCAUUAUAACUAUACAUGAUAGUGGGAUUCAUAAGGCCCUAUUAGUACAUGCACAUGACAUACUUGAUCCGUCUCAUUCCCAGCACCCCCCUUUCUCUCCCCGUUGCCCUCUCCUGACCUGCACUACACUCUGCUGGUUUCCCUUCUUUCCCUGUGAUUUUAAUGGAUGCACUAUAGAGAGGGUUGUGCUGGCUCCUCAUGUGCAGGAAGAGCUUGGUUGGGCAGAUCCCCUUUACCAGGGCCUCCCCCCCUCUCCCUUCCUCUCUUCUGCUCUGUUGGCCUUCUUCAUGGAUCCACCCCUCCCCUCCUUUUUUUUGGCUAUAAUGACUUUUUAACAACUCUUAAACACCUUUAAGAGAGUCAUGGGAGCUUCUAAGGAUGGCCUUCAGGGGCAGUGGAGAGAGCACUGUAUUGGGAGUCCAGAGAAUUGGGCUUCGGUCUAGGCUCGGACCGGCCUGCUGGGCCCACUGGUUAGGAUUAUUCAGAAGCAGACAUAGUUAAUGAAGUCUCCUGGGUUAUGUGUUAGUUUGCUGUAACAAAAGGCCACACACGGGGUGGUUUGAACAACAGUAGUCCCUCAUGGCACAGCCGGGAGGACAGAGGUCUGAAGUUGAGGUGUCAUGGGUCCCUUCCUUCCAAGGCUGAGGGAGAAUUGUGCCAGGCCUCUCCCCUGCUCUAGGUGGUUUCCUUGCCAUCUGUGGCAUUCUUUGGCUUGUGGAGGUGACACUCU
rnacentral:lncRNA from 1 species